UACGGAGGGAGGCUAGCGUUGUUCGGAAUUACUGGGCGUAAAGCGCGCGUAGGCGGCUUUGUAAGUUAGAGGUGAAAGCCCGGGGCUCAACCCCGGAACUGCCUUUAAGACUGCAUCGCUUGAAUCCGGGAGAGGUGAGUGGAAUUCCGAGUGUAGAGGUGAAAUUCGUAGAUAUUCGGAAGAACACCAGUGGCGAAGGCGGCUCACUGGACCGGUAUUGACGCUGAGGUGCGAAAGCGUGGGGAGCAAACAGG
rnacentral:rRNA from 1 species